rnacentral:rRNA from 1 species
UGGCGGACGGGUGAGUAACGCGUGAGUAACCUGCCCUCAGGAGGGGAAUAACGUCUGGAAACGGACGCUAAUACCGCAUGACAUAGCGGAGGGGCAUCCCUCUGUUAUCAAAGAUUUAUCGCCUGAGGAUGGACUCGCGUCCGAUUAGAUAGUUGGUGGGGUAACGGCUCACCAAGUCGACGAUCGGUAGCCGGACUGAGAGGUUGAACGGCCACAUUGGGACUGAGACACGGCCCAA